ACGGAGGGUGCAAGCGUUAUCCGGAUUCACUGGGUUUAAAGGGUGUGUAGGCGGGCAUUUAAGUCAGUGGUGAAAUCUCCGAGCUCAACUCGGAAACUGCCAUUGAUACUAUUUGUCUUGAAUAUCGUUGAGGUUGGCGGAAUAUAUCAUGUAGCGGUGAAAUGCUUAGAUAUGAUAUAGAACACCGAUUGCGAAGGCAGCUAACUAAGCGAUGAUUGACGCUGAGGCACGAAAGCGUGGGGAUCAAACAGGA
rnacentral:rRNA from 1 species